AAUUUUAAUAUUACAUUGCUGUUGAUUGAUUUUUUUUCUCAAAAAUCUCAGGUCAAAAUACUGAUCACUAUGUGAUAUCAUUUGAGAUGUCUUCUGUGGAUAUUACUAGUUCAGCAAGAAGACAGGAAAUAAACGAGGGCACAUACUUAGAACCCAGGACUCUGAGAACCGAGCUCCAAAUGCAACAGAGACAACACAUCAGUUCUUUGAAAGUGUAAAUUAAUUGCAGGAGGGUAAUAGGAAACUCAAGGCAUUAAAAUGAUACCAAGAUCCACCACCUGGUGACAGCUUCUCCCAGACACCUCCACAUAGGGAAAUCAAGCAGCUCUGGAUGGAGAGUUCCAGUUAUCCAAGAUAAGCCCAGAAAUGCAAGCUGCUGGGACAGAGGUCAUUCUGAGAAGAGAAAGGUGUUCAGUUCCAAAGCAACAGGAGACCAAAAAGAAUGCCUCUGGAAUAGCCAGGGGAAGUGGGUCAGUUCCAAUGGGGCCGAGAACAGAAAAACAAGAACAAGGCCUGCCCUGCUGGGGAGCAGUCAGGAGGAAGCCUGCCCUGCUGAGCCUUGUUGGUCCACCCCAACUUCGUGACUAAAAUACUAAUAUUUUUCUGA